rnacentral:lncRNA from 1 species
GACCAGACGUUCCUGGCGCGAGGGUAGUACCUAACAGUAUAAACCCUAGAUUCUCUGACCAGAUCCUCCAUGGUCUCCACGAACAGAUUCAAGCUCCUCACUGGCGGAAUAUACAGAGUCAAAGGCACCGCCGAGAAGGCUACCGUGAAGAAAAGCUGCAGAGCCAUAUUUCUGGAAAUCACUGGAAGAUGAAGUCUUGCUGGGUUUGUAGCUAGGAUUCCGAUGCACAAAUUAGGACCCCCCUUUGUUUGAAGACGGAGAACAGUAGAUGAGGAAAUUUAGGGUGGAAGGGAGAACUCCUGCGGAAAGCUUUAUGUUGUAGAGUUAUGGUUGUAGUUGUAAUGAAAUGAAUUGAAAUGAUAUUGUGGACUGUUUGGGGGG